rnacentral:rRNA from 2 species
AUUUAAGCAUAUAAUUAAGCGGAGGAAAAGAAACUAACUAGGAUUCCCUCAGUAAGGGCGACUGAAGCGGGAAUAGCUCAUCUUGUGAAUCUGCGCUCUGCGCCGAAUUGUGGUCUAGAGACUCUUGCAUUACUGGCCGGGCCAAGUCCUCUGGAAUGGGGCAGCUGAGAGGGUGACACUCCCGUCCGCCUGGCCUUUUGAGCAAGUGUCAACGAGUCGAGUUGUUUGGGAUUGCAGCUCAAAGCGGGUGGUAAAUUCCAUCUAAGGCUAAAUAUUGGUGGGAGACCGAUAGCGUACAAGUACCGUGAGGGAAAGAUGCAAAGAACUUUGAAAAGAGAGUUAAAGAGUACCUGAAAUUGCUGAAACGGAAGCGAAGGAAACCAGUGUCAGCUGCGUCAUACUUCCCCGCUCGCUUGCGGUCGGGGCGCUGUGACCAGCAUUGUCAGGCUUGGCUGGAUUGGCCGGAACCGCGUACAGGGAGUUGACCUGUGCAUGUCGCGGUUGAUCCGACUGAGGUUGACGAAAUGGUUUUCUUUACCCCGUCUUGAAACACGGACCAAGGAGUUUAACAUAUGUGCGAGUACAGGGGUGUCAAACCCCGGUGCGCAAUGAAAGUAACAGUGGCUGGAAAUCUGCACAGUCCGCCGGCCAUAAUCCCUCGGGAGAACGGUCUGAGUGUGAGCAUACAUGUUGAGACCCGAAAGAUGGUGAACUAUGCCUGAAUAGGGUGAAGCCAGGGGAAACUCUGGUGGAGGCUCGUAGCGAUUCUGACGUGCAAAUCGAUCGUCAAAUUUGGGUAUAGGGGCGAAAGACUAAUCGAACUAUCUAGUAGCUGGUUCCCUCCGAAAUUUCCCUCAGGAUAGCUGUGAUCGAUUCAAUUUUAUCAGGUAAAGCGAAUGAUUAGAGC